rnacentral:rRNA from 1 species
GAUGAACGCUGGCGGCGUGCCUAAUACAUGCAAGUCGAGCGAACGGACGAGAAGCUUGCUUCUCUGAUGUUAGCGGCGGACGGGUGAGUAACACGUGGAUAACCUACCUAUAAGACUGGGAUAACUUCGGGAAACCGGAGCUAAUACCGGAUAAUAUUUUGAACCGCAUGGUUCAAAAGUGAAAGACGGUCUUGCUGUCACUUAUAGAUGGAUCCGCGCUGCAUUAGCUAGUUGGUAAGGUAACGGCUUACCAAGGCAACGAUGCAUAGCCGACCUGAGAGGGUGAUCGGCCACACUGGAACUGAGACACGGUCCGGACUCCUACGGGGGGCAGCAGUAGGGAAUCUUCCGCAAUGGGCGAAAGCCUGACGGAGCAACGCCGCGUGAGUGAUGAAGGUCUUCGGAUCGUAAAACUCUGUUAUUAGGGAAGAACAUAUGUGUAAGUAACUGUGCACAUCUUGACGGUACCUAAUCAGAAAGCCACGGCUAACUACGUG